rnacentral:rRNA from 1 species
GACGAACGCUGGCGGCGUGCUUAACACAUGCAAGUCGAACGAAGUGGCGAACGGGUGAGUAAUACGUGGGUAACCUGCCCUCCUUUAUGGGACAAGCCUUGGAAACGGGGUCUAAUACCGAAUAAAGGGGGAGGGGCUCGCGGCCUAUCAGCUUGUUGGUGGGGUGAUGGCCUACCAAGGCGGUGACGGGUAGCCGGCCUGAGAGGGUGACCGGCCACAGUGGGACGGAGAAAAGGCCCAGAGUACUACGGGGGGGAGCAGUGGGGGAUAUGGCACAAUGGGCGAAAGCGUGAUGCAGCGACGCCGAGUGGGGGAUGAAGGCUUUAGGGUUGUAAUCCUCUUUCGCUAUAGAGAGGGUAGGUGGAGAAGAAGCGCCGGCUAACUACGUGUCAGCAGCCGCGGUAAUAC